rnacentral:rRNA from 1 species
AUGGCCGCCGCUCUGGUGCCCCACGUCCUGGUCGUCCCGUUCCCGGCGCAGGGCCACAUGAUCCCGGUCCUCGAUCUCGUAGGCUUCCUCGUGGCCCGCGGCCUCCACCUCACUGUCGUCGCCACGCCUCCUCGCGGCCCAUGGACUUCGCCUCACCGUCAUUGUUACCCCGUCACUGGCCCGCUCCUCGCUCCCCUCCUCGGCGGCGCCAUCCGCGCAGUCACUCUCCUGUUUCCAACCCACCUGGCCUUCCCCGCCGGCAUCGAGAGUGCCAAGGGAUGCCCGCCCGCUCUCAUGGGCACGCUCAUCGUCGCCUUCACGGGGCUCCGCGGUCCGCUCAGUUCCUGGGUGCGCGCCCGCUCCGGCAGCCCCGACCGCAUUGUUGCCAUACUCUCCGACUUCUUUGGCUGGACGCAGCCGCUCGCCGCCGAGCUCGGCCUACCGCGCAUCACCUUCUCGUGCUGCGCCGUCUACGGCGCCGCCGUGCUCCACUCGCUCCUGCGUCAGCUGCCCAGACGCGAGGACGAGAACGACGACGAGUGCCCGAUUCCAUUCCCAAAUCUCCCGAGCGUCCCGGUGUACCCGAGGCGGCAGCUCUCGUUGAUGUACCGGACCUACAAGGAGGGCGACGAGCACAUUCCGGUGGCUCGAGGGACAUACAUGGAAGUGCCUCUCGCUGACAUGGGCUUCCGGCGCAUGCGUGCGGUAGGACCAUUGGCGCCAGAGGCCGAUGCCACGGAAAACCAUGGUGGAGAGACGGCGGUAACCACGGCCAACCUCUGUGCUUGGCUCGACAAGUUCGAGGACGACAAAUCCCCAGGUCAUGCGGCGGUGCUGCAGCCAGGUCAUGCGGCGGCGCUGGCUACUGCCCUGGAGCGGACGGGUGUGGCGUUCGUGUGGGCGGUUUGUCCGGCUGUGACGCUCCCGAACGGGUUCGAGGAGCGUGCUGUGUCGGGCGGCAGGGGCACGGUGAUCCGUGGAUGGGCGCCGCAGGUGAAUGCACUACGACACCAGGCGUUGGGUUGGUUUGUGACGCACUGCGGGUGGAACUCGGUGCUGGAGUCAGUGGCGGCCGGGGUGACCAUUCUAGCAUGGCCGAUGACUGCCGACCAGUUUGUGAAUGCUCGGCUUCUCGUGGACGAGCUGCACGCUGCCGUGCCGGUUUGUUGGGGCGGGGUUAAGAUGGCACCGAGCACCGACGGGCUGGUUCGCGUGCUCGAAUCGACAGUCGUGGGGAAGGAGUGGGACGGGGAGUUGGGCGACGUUGCCGCCCGAACCAAGGAGCUGGUCGAGGAGGCGGCGGCGGCGCGGUGCGAGAAGGUGGCAGCUCGUGGCGGGAGGUGGAGGAGCUGGCGCGGGAGCUCCGCGAGCUUGGAAGAUGAUUUUUUUUUCAAGAGAGAUAUAGCUGGUGAAGCUAAGCUGCAUCUGCUUUGCAUCAAAAACUUGGAAUAA